rnacentral:rRNA from 1 species
ACAGUGGACGCGAGCAUCUUUGUUGUAAGUAAUGAAGAGCGUACGGUGGAUGCCUUGGCACCAGGAGCCGAUGAAGGACGUAGGAGGCUGCGAUAAGCCUCGGGGAGCUGUCAACCGAGCUGUGAUCCGAGGAUGUCCGAAUGGGGAAACCCAGCACGAGUGAUGUCGUGUUACCCGCGCCUGAAUAUAUAGGGCGUGUGGAGGGAACGUGGGGAAGUGAAACAUCUCAGUACCCACAGGAAGAGAAAACAACCGUGAUUCCGUGAGUAGUGGCGAGCGAAAGCGGAAGAGGCUAAACCAUGGGUGUGUGAUAGCCGGCAGGUGUUGCAUUCGUGGGGUUGUGGGGUUCAUUUUGUCUGUUCUGCCGAGCAGGCCAACAGUAAGAAAUCACAGGGUUAGUGGAAGUGGUCUGGAACGGCCUGUCGUAGAGGGUGAGAAUCCCGUACACGAAAACUUUGUGACUGUUGUAAUGGAAACCCAAGUAGCACCGGGCCCGUGAAAUCUGGUGUGAAUCUGUCGGGACCACCCGAUAAGCCUGAAUACUCCCUGGUGACCGAUAGCGGACUAGUACCGUGAGGGAAAGGUGAAAAGUACCCCGGGAGGGGAGUGAAAUAGUACCUGAAACCGUGCGCUUACAAUCCGUCAGAGCCUUCGAGCAGUUUACUGCUGGGGGUGAUGGCGUGCCUUUUGAAGAAUGAGCCUGCGAGUUAGUGGCAUGUCGCGAGGUUAACCCGUGUGGGGUAGCCGUAGCGAAAGCGAGUCCGAAUAGGGCGAGUCAGUGGCAUGCUCUAGACCCGAAGCGGAGUGAUCUACCCAUGGCCAGGUUGAAGCGACGGUAAGACGUCGUGGAGGACCGAACCCACUUAGGUUGAAAACUGAGGGGAUGAGUUGUGGGUAGGGGUGAAAGGCCAAUCAAACUCCGUGAUAGCUGGUUCUCCCCGAAAUGCAUUUAGGUGCAGCGUCGCGUGUUUCUCACCGGAGGUAGAGCUACUGGAUGGUCUAGGGGGCCCACAAGCUUACCGAAAUCAGCCAAACUCCGAAUGCCGGUGAGUGAGAGCGCGGCAGUGAGACUGCGGGCGAUAAGGUUCGUAGUCGAGAGGGAAACAGCCCAGAUCGCCAGCUAAGGUCCCUAAGCGUGUACUAAGUGGAAAAGGAUGUGGGGUCGCGAAGACAACCAGGAGGUUGGCUUAGAAGCAGCCACCCUUGAAAGAGUGCGUAAUAGCUCACUGGUCAAGUGAUCCUGCGCCGACAAUGUAGCGGGGCUCAAGUACACCACCGAAGCUGCGGCAUUCACGCAAUAGCCCCCCUUCACUCUGCGGAGUGUUGGGCAGGUGUGUGGAUGGGUAGGGGAGCGUCGUGUGGCCAUGGAAGCGGCAGGGUGACCUAGCCGUGGAGGCCACACGAGUGAGAAUGCAGGCAUGAGUAGCGAAAGACGAGUGAGAAACUCGUCCGCCGAAUGACCAAGGGUUCCUGGGCCAGGUUAAUCCGCCCAGGGUGAGUCGGGACCUAAGACGAGGCCGACAGGCGUAGCCGAUGGACAACGGGUUGAUAUUCCCGUACCCGUGUGAACGCGCCCAUGGUGAAUCAGUGAUACUAACCAUCCUGAAGCCACGAGAAGACCUUCGGGUCUCGAGUUGGUGGAUGCAUGGGACCUGAUCUGGUAGUAGCCAAGCGAUGGGGUGACGCAGGAAGGUAGCUGAGCCAGUCAGUGGUAAUACUGGUGUAAGCGUGUAGGGCGUGACCUAGGCAAAUCCGGGUCGCACAUAGCCUGAGACGUGAUGCGUAGCCGAUUGAGGCGAAUUCAGUGAUCCUAUGCUGCCGAGAAAAGCCUCUAGCGAGCUUUCACACGGCCCGUACCCCAAACCGACACAGGUGGUCAGGUAGAGAAUACUAAGGCGAUCGAGAUAACUAUGGUUAAGGAACUCGGCAAAAUGCCCCCGUAACUUCGGGAGAAGGGGGGCCCUGUCUGGUGACGACAUUUACUGUCUGAGCUGGGUGGGGCCGCAGAGACCAGUGAGAAGCGACUGUUUACUAAAAACACAGGUCCGUGCGAAGUCGUAAGACGAUGUAUACGGACUGACGCCUGCCCGGUGCUGGAAGGUUAAGAGGACCGGUUAGUUCCUUCGGGAGCGAAGCUGAGAAUUUAAGCCCCAGUAAACGGCGGUGGUAACUAUAACCAUCCUAAGGUAGCGAAAUUCCUUGUCGGGUAAGUUCCGACCUGCACGAAUGGCGUAACGACUUCUCAGCUGUCUCAACCGUAGACUCGGCGAAAUUGCAUUACGAGUAAAGAUGCUCGUUACGCGCGGCAGGACGAAAAGACCCCGGGACCUUCACUACAGCUUGGUAUUGGUGUUCGGUUCGGUUUGUGUAGGAUAGGUGGGAGACUGUGAA